GACGAGGCACCACGGUGCUGAAGCAACAAAUGCCCUGCUUCCAGGAAAAGCCUCUAAGCAUCAGGUAACAUCAAAUCGUACCCCAAACCGACACAGGUGGUCAGGUAGAGAAUACCAAGGCGCUUGAGAGAACUCGGGUGAAGGAACUAGGCAAAAUGGUGCCGUAACUUCGGGAGAAGGCACGCUGACACGUAGGUGAAGUGGUUUACCCAUGGAGCUGAAGUCAGUCGAAGAUACCAGCUGGCUGCAACUGUUUAUUAAAAACACAGCACUGUGCAAACACGAAAGUGGACGUAUACGGUGUGACGCCUGCCCGGUGCCGGAAGGUUAAUUGAUGGGGUCAGCGCAAGCGAAGCUCCUGAUCGAAGCCCCGGUAAACGGCGGCCGUAACUAUAACGGUCCUAAGGUAGCGAAAUUCCUUGUCGGGUAAGUUCCGACCUGCACGAAUGGCGUAAUGAUGGCCAGGCUGUCUCCACCCGAGACUCAGUGAAAUUGAACUCGCUGUGAAGAUGCAGUGUACCCGCGGCAAGACGGAAAGACCCCGUGAACCUUUACUAUAGCUUGACACUGAACAUUGAGCCUUGAUGUGUAGGAUAGGUGGGAGGCUUUGAAGCGUGGACGCCAGUCUGCGUGGAGCCGGCCUUGAAAUACCACCCUUUAAUGUUUGAUGUUCUAACGUGGACCCGUAAUCCGGGUUGCGGACAGUGUCUGGUGGGUAGUUUGACUGGGGCGGUCUCCUCCUAAAGAGUAACGGAGGAGCACGAAGGUUGGCUAAUCCUGGUCGGACAUCAGGAGGUUAGUGCAAUGGCAUAAGCCAGCUUGACUGCGAGCGUGACGGCGCGAGCAGGUGCGAAAGCAGGUCAUAGUGAUCCGGUGGUUCUGAAUGGAAGGGCCAUCGCUCAACGGAUAAAAGGUACUCCGGGGAUAACAGGCUGAUACCGCCCAAGAGUUCAUAUCGACGGCGGUGUUUGGCACCUCGAUGUCGGCUCAUCACAUCCUGGGGCUGAAGUAGGUCCCAAGGGUAUGGCUGUUCGCCAUUUAAAGUGGUACGCGAGCUGGGUUUAGAACGUCGUGAGACAGUUCGGUCCCUAUCUGCCGUGGGCGCUGGAGAACUGAGGGGGGCUGCUCCUAGUACGAGAGGACCGGAGUGGACGCAUCACUGGUGUUCGGGUUGUCAUGCCAAUGGCACUGCCCGGUAGCUAAAUGCGGAAGAGAUAAGUGCUGAAAGCAUCUAAGCACGAAACUUGCCCCGAGAUGAGUUCUCCCUGAGACUAUAAGUCUCCUGAAGGAACGUUGAAGACGACGACGUUGAUAGGCCGGGUGUGUAAGCGCAGCGAUGCGUUGAGCUAACCGGUACUAAUGAACCGUGAGG
rnacentral:rRNA from 1 species